UGGCUCCUGCAAUUCAUCAAUGGUCCAGCAUCAAUAUAAUGAAGGGGACCCAGAUGAUAUAAUACAGAACCUUCUCACCAACCUUUCUGGCCAUGAAGACUACCACUCCUUUAGUGAGGACCCAGAGCAGCUGAUCCCCAUGGAGAUGAGGAAUCAAGAGUGGAGCUUCCAUCUAUAAGG